rfam:Aedes albopictus isolate Foshan contig61331, whole genome shotgun sequence.
UGCCAAGCAACUCCUAUCCCUACCUCCACGUGGUACCGGCCGGAAACUAUGAGCAACCUUAGGGAAGA